AACAGGGACAAACUUGAUGGGCACGUAUAGGAAUUCAUCCCCAGUUAAACCAUGGAGCUGCAGCUGAGCCCAGACCAGUGGCCUGAAAAGAAGCCCUGGGAACAGGAAGCAACUGUCACCAUGGAGCAACCUGACAAUUUCAAGGGGAGUUCAAGGGGCUCUCUGGUUGCUGUUAGACUUCGGGUCUCAGAAUGACAUUCUCACACCAGAAUGUGAGGGCCGGUCGCAGAGCCCCGCCUCCUCAACUGGGUGCCGGGAGGGAUUCCCAUCACACUAUGGCAAUGGCCGACCUCAGCCUACAGCUUUAACAGGCACAGCAUUCCACAUGGCCUCAGGAUGGUCCAGUCUGAGCAGAACCAUAAAGAAGGACAUGCUAAGGAGGCACUAAGGACAUGCUAAGGAGGCACUAAGGACAUGCUAAGGAGGCACCAAGGACAUGCUAAGAGGCACUGCUGCUCUAGACCCCCUAACUAGUGAUGUAGUCAAGACCACCUAAGCCGAGACCAAGACAUGACCAAGAUCCGAGUGUAUUGAGACCGACACAAGACAAGGAACAAGGCAAGGACCGUUUACGCUCCGCGUCUGCAGUGGGCACCAGAGGGGUCCAGUCGCCCUCCCGCUCCCCCCACCCUUCCCUGAGAAGAAGGACGCCCCCCACAAGCACAACACCUGAAGAGGCACACCUGAAACUUUCCUACACCAUGUUUCUGGGACCCCGCCACGGUCAAAUCUCUCCCCCCAGUCCAAGCAAGGGUAUCAGAUCACACUCGAGCAAAAACAAAUGUAUUUGCUGCCUUUCCUUCCCAGCGUAACAGGCUCGCUCCGCGGGAGCCGCAAACAACCCGGGGAUUGCCGCUGGCUUUCCACUCUGACUGGCUGGGGACGGCGUAGGAAAUGCGGAAAGUGAGAUUGAGGCAGAUAAUUCACGGGUGGCAAAUGAAGAAUGAGAAACAGAUAGCUAUCGCUUAAUAACACGUCCAUAUUCAUUUCACAUGCAGCUAAGGGAUAUUUCCUGCACACCACUCAUCCAAAUCGACAUACCAAGAAACUGUGACUAAUUGGCUACAUUUUCAGAGCUGCAACUGUAAAAAAUUACUCUCGAAUUUGGAAAAAUAAAACCAUUUCACAGGGUACUGUGGUACAAUGGCUCUCGCCCAGGGUGAUCAUGGUACAUUUUCAUUCAUAGAAGAUUAGAGACCAGUUUCAUUUCUCUUCCAACCACUCAUACUCAGUGUCGCCAUUCCCACCCCUCCAAAGCUUGUUUUAAGUCUGACUAUCUGAAAUAAAUCAGCAGUAAACUGGAUCAGACUCAUUCCAGAUUCAUUAUCCUCUGACAGCCAUGCGUUAAAGUCAUAAACAUUUGUUUAUUGUUCAUACGCCUUACAGGAGUCCAAUAGACUGGCCAGGAAGGACAGAAUUAGUCAGGAAAGAUGUAUAUCUCUCUAAUAUCGAAACAGUUUACACUCCAGAUCUGCUUGUAUUUAUUACAUUAUUUUCUUAUGAGUGUUUCAUAGUUAUUUAGUCAGUCAGUUAGCCAUUUAAAUUUUGCAAAGGCUCAGGCAUACACGCAUUUAAAAACCUGGGAAGUGGAGCACUGUGGGUAAACAGAAGGAAAGACAAGGUCAUAUUUACACGCAGGUGAUCUCACUGGGCAGGCCAGCCCCAGCGAAUGCUCGUUACAUUUCCCGGUUGGGUCUGCUGAAACGAAUGGCCGCAUUGCAGACCGAUGAAGUCUGCUGUUAUUCCGAGCGUAAGCCCUCGGAAUGAUUAAUGGCGAUAUUCUGAAAUUAGGGAAUACUGCUCAUGUGGGCAUUCUGCUUCUUGUUAUGAGAGUCAUGGCUAAUGUGCUCCUUUCUCAGACCCGCCUCUGUAAUCGCCUGGAUUCGAAGUGGAGGUAUUUGUACCACAGGAGUCAUGGAGAGCUUUCCAAAUGUCCCUGUGCAGCUCCAGAUCCCAAAGCUCCCCAAUCCCACAGUCUCCAAUCCCAAAGCUCCGUAAUUCCACAGCCCACAAUCCCAAAGCUCCCCAAUCCCACAGCCCACAAUCCCAAAGCUCCGUAAUUCCACAGCCCACAAUCCCAAAGCUCCCCAACCCCACAGUCCACAAUCCCAAAGCUCCCCAAUCCCACAGCUCACAAUCCCAAAGCUCCCCAAUCCCACAGCUCACAAUCCCAAAGAUCCCAAUCCCAAAGCUUCCAAUCCCAAACACCCGAAUCCCACAGCCCCCAAUCCCAAAGCUUCUGAUCUCAAAAUUGUCAAUCCCAAAGCUACCAUUCCCAGUCCUGCUGCUCCUGAUCCAGUAGCUCCCAAUCCCACUACAUGCCUCUGUUUGUCUUGGAGAGCCCAGUACCUCUGUUGAUUCAUGCUCCAUUAGAAAUGACCUAUUGCCUUCCUCCCUUCCUUUUCCUUGGGGCGGUAUGUGGUUCAGCAGGUCAGGAAUCUGUGCCAGUGCUUGGUUGUGGGUUUGAAUCCCGUGGCCCUCAACCCAACUGCUGCAGAGGGGCUGGAUAUGUCAGAGCCCAAGCUUUCCCCACUGCUGCUUCACUUUGGACACAAGCGUCUGCUGAAUUAAUGUGAGAGGCAUCAGUGAUGAAUGCACUCCUCUGAUAAUGCAUUGGGAACCUGAAGAGGCUCUCCUUGGCUGAAAAUGCAGGGAAUUGGUGGGAUUAGUGAAAGAAGCAGACAAGCCGAACCAGAGUGAGAAAGGACAGCAUGUGAAGACAUAAGGACAGAAGAUCAGGCUGAGCACAAGGACCAACAGUGCAAACCUGCAGCAGUGAGAUCAACAUUUUAGCUGUUGGCGGCCAGCAGGGGGCACCUGCUGGUCCUGAUGGGAGCAGGGACAGGUCGGCAUCUGGCUCUUGUUUGUUCUUGGGAGGGAGCUACCAGGGGGAGGCACGACACUUUAAACGCCCCUCACCACUUUCUGAAGAAGCACAGGUUCAUUUCCACUCCCCUACCCCCCCCAGCCUGUUUCUGACCCCAGUGCCCCAUAAGAGUCCUCCUCCGCCUGCUGUGGGCACUGGCUGUGGGAUGGGGAUCC